GUUGACCUCGGAUCAGGUAGGGAUACCCGCUGAACUUAAGCAUAUCAAUAAGCCGGAGGAA
rnacentral:rRNA from 4 species